UACAGAGGGUGCAAGCGUUAAUCGGAAUUACUGGGCGUAAAGGGCUCGUAGGCGGCCAACUAAGUCAGACGUGAAAUCCCCAGGCUCAACCUGGGAACUGCGUCUGAUACUGGAUGGCUUGAAUCCGGGAGAGGGAUGCAGAAUUCCAGGUGUAGCGGUGAAAUGCGUAGAUAUCUGGAGGAAUACCGGUGGCGAAGGCGGCAUCCUGGACCGGCAUUGACGCUGAGGAGCGAAAGCCAGGGGAGCAAACGGG
rnacentral:rRNA from 1 species